rnacentral:rRNA from 1 species
GAUGAACGCUGGCGGCGUGCUUAACACAUGCAAGUCGAACGAAGCACUUAAGAUUGAUUCUUCGGAUGACGUCUUUUGUGACUUAGUGGCGGACGGGUGAGUAACGCGUGGGUAACCUGCCUCACACAGGGGGAUAACAGUUAGAAAUGACUGCUAAUACCGCAUAACCCGAUAGGAUCGCAUGAUCCAGACGGAAAAGAUUUAUCGGUGUGAGAUGGACCCGCGUCUGAUUAGCUAGUUGGUGAGGUAACGGCCCACCAAGGCGACGAUCAGUAGCCGGCCUGAGAGGGUGAUCGGCCACAUUGGAACUGAGAUACGGUCCAA